UACGUAGGGGGCGAGCGUUGUCCGGAAUUAUUGGGCGUAAAGCGCGCGCAGGCGGUCCUUUAAGUCUGAUGUGAAAGCCCACGGCUCAACCGUGGAGGGUCAUUGGAAACUGGGGGACUUGAGUGCAGGAGAGGAGAGCGGAAUUCCACGUGUAGCGGUGAAAUGCGUAGAGAUGUGGAGGAACACCAGUGGCGAAGGCGGCUCUCUGGCCUGCAACUGACGCUGAGGCGCGAAAGCGUGGGGAGCAAAC
rnacentral:rRNA from 1 species